rnacentral:rRNA from 1 species
AGAACGAACGCUGGCGGCAGGCUUAACACAUGCAAGUCGAGCGCUGUAGCAAUACAGAGCGGCGCACGGGAGAGUAAUACGUGGGAACCUACCUUUUGGUUCGGAAUAACGUCGGGAAACUGCUGCUAAUACCGCAUGACACCUGAGGGUCAAAGGCGCAAGUCGCCUGUGGAGGAGCCUGCGUCCGAUUAGCUAGUUGGUGGGGUAACGGCCUACCAAGGCGACGAUCGGUAGCUGGUCUGAGAGGAUGAUCAGCCACACUGGGACUGAGACACGGCCCAGACUCCUACGGGAGGCAGCAGUGGGGAAUAUUGGACAAUGGGCGCAAGCCUGAUCCAGCAAUGCCGCGUGGGUGAAGAAGGUCUUCGGAUUGUAAAGCCCUUUCGGCGGGGACGAUGAUGACGGUACCCGCAGAGAAGCCCCGGCUAACUUCGUGCCAGCAGUCGC